UUGAGAGGCUGUCAAUUUCAGGAUAAAAAUAUUUAUCCACAUAUUUUAAAAUAAUUAUAAAGCCACUAAAAUGCUACAAAUUUAUUAGUUAAUAAUGUAUAGGCGUCGAUAUCUUUAGUGAAGAAAUGUGUAUUACACGAAAAGGUCGCUUGAUGUGAAAAAUUUGAUGUGUUUUCUAACAUCGUCGAUAUUCAAUACACGUUAGUAUAACCUAUUGGUACAUAAAACUUCAUUAUAGAACAAGACAAGACCACAAUAGAUCUGAGAAUGUCGCAGUCUGAGAUCAGGCUGAGAUCAACCUUUAGAAAUCUAAUCUAGAACAAGACAAAGACCUUACUUUCAAACUACCAUACAUAUCUUUUAAAAAGGCUGCUAAGUCAAGAAGUUUAGAUAAAUCUACAAUAUAUUAUCAUCAGACCAAAUGAAGAAUAAUUAUUUAAAAGAAUAAGUUAUGUUAUGAUACAUAUAUAGAUUUGGAUGACAUCGCUUCAGGUGGUUUUACCAGUCAGGACUAACAGGGAUAUUAAUCAAAACAAUGAAAAAAAGCUCAAAUAAAUUUGAUCCUAAUAACAAGAAUGUUGUUUAUGCAUAUGCUAACUAUAUAGUUAUUUUCAUGGACUUAAAUAGAUUAG
rnacentral:lncRNA from 1 species